rnacentral:lncRNA from 1 species
AUCCAAGAGCCCUGCUCCUUCUCUCGCAGCAGCCUCACGCCUCUCUCUCCUUCUCUUCUCGGGUUCCGCACGGCUUCCUCUGCAAAAAACUAAUCACCGCAGUUCUCUGUUGAGGCACAGGCUUUUUAAAGGCCUUAAACAAGAGUUUAACCUAAUUAGAUUAGGUUUAGGUCUCCUAAACAAGCUAAAUUAAGCUUCUGAACCAUCGGAUCA